AUUGAACGCUGGCGGAAUGCUUUACACAUGCAAGUCGAACGGCAGCACGGGGGCAACCCUGGUGGCGAGUGGCGAACGGGUGAGUAAUACAUCGGAACGUGCCCAGUCGUGUGGGAUAACUACGCGAAAGCGUAGCUAAUACCGCAUACGAACUCUGGUUGAAAGCGGGGGAUCGCAAGACCUCGCGCGAUUGGAGCGGCCGAUGGCAGAUUAGGUAGUUGGUGAGGUAAAGGCUCACCAAGCCGACGAUCCGUAGCUGGUCUGAGAGGACGACCAGCCACACUGGGACUGAGACACGGCCCAGACUCCUACGGGAGGCAGCAGUGGGGAAUUUUGGACAAUGGGCGCAAGCCUGAUCCAGCCAUACCGCGUGCAGGAUGAAGGCCCUCGGGUUGUAAACUGCUUUUGUACGGAACGAAACGGUCCUGGUUAAUACCCGGGGCUAAUGACGGUACCGUAAGAAUAAGCACCGGCUAACUACGUG
rnacentral:rRNA from 1 species